rnacentral:rRNA from 1 species
UAAGCCUGUGAAGGUGUGUCGUGAGGCAUGCUGGAGGUAUCAGAAGUGCGAAUGCUGACAUAAGUAACGAUAAAGCGGGUGAAAAGCCCGCUCGCCGGAAGACCAAGGGUUCCUGUCCAACGUUAAUCGGGGCAGGGUGAGUCGACCCCUAAGGCGAGGCCGAAAGGCGUAGUCGAUGGGAAACGGGUUAAUAUUCCCGUACUUGGUGUUACUGCGAAGGGGGGACGGAGAAGGCUAUGUUGGCCGGGCGACGGUUGUCCCGGUUUAAGCGUGUAGGUGUGUGUUCCAGGUAAAUCCGGUUCACUUUAACACUGAGGCGUGACGACGAGGCACUACGGUGCUGAAGCAACAAAUGCCCUGCUUCCAGGAAAAGCCUCUAAGCAUCAGGUAACAUCAAAUCGUACCCCAAACCGACACAGGUGGUCAGGUAGAGAAUACCAAGGCGCUUGAGAGAACUCGGGUGAAGGAACUAGGCAAAAUGGUGCCGUAACUUCGGGAGAAGGCACGCUGACACGUAGGUGAAGUGAUUUACUCAUGGAGCUGAAGUCAGUCGAAGAUACCAGCUGGCUGCAACUGUUUAUUAAAAACACAGCACUGUGCAAACACGAAAGUGGACGUAUACGGUGUGACGCCUGCCCGGUGCCGGAAGGUUAAUUGAUGGGGUCAGCGCAAGCGAAGCUCCUGAUCGAAGCCCCGGUAAACGGCGGCCGUAACUAUAACGGUCCUAAGGUAGCGAAAUUCCUUGUCGGGUAAGUUCCGACCUGCACGAAUGGCGUAAUGAUGGCCAGGCUGUCUCCACCCGAGACUCAGUGAAAUUGAACUCGCUGUGAAGAUGCAGUGUACCCGCGGCAAGACGGAAAGACCCCGUGAACCUUUACUAUAGCUUGACACUGAACAUUGAGCCUUGAUGUGUAGGAUAGGUGGGAGGCUUUGAAGUGUGGACGCCAGUCUGCAUGGAGCCGACCUUGAAAUACCACCCUUUAAUGUUUGAUGUUCUAACGUGGACCCGUGAUCCGGGUUGCGGACAGUGUCUGGUGGGUAGUUUGACUGGGGCGGUCUCCUCCUAAAGAGUAACGGAGGAGCACGAAGGUUGGCUAAUCCUGGUCGGACAUCAGGAGGUUAGUGCAAUGGCAUAAGCCAGCUUGACUGCGAGCGUGACGGCGCGAGCAGGUGCGAAAGCAGGUCAUAGUGAUCCGGUGGUUCUGAAUGGAAGGGCCAUCGCUCAACGGAUAAAAGGUACUCCGGGGAUAACAGGCUGAUACCGCCCAAGAGUUCAUAUCGACGGCGGUGUUUGGCACCUCGAUGUCGGCUCAUCACAUCCUGGGGCUGAAGUAGGUCCCAAGGGUAUGGCUGUUCGCCAUUUAAAGUGGUACGCGAGCUGGGUUUAGAACGUCGUGAGACAGUUCGGUCCCUAUCUGCCGUGGGCGCUGGAGAACUGAGGGGGGCUGCUCCUAGUACGAGAGGACCGGAGUGGACGCAUCACUGGUGUUCGGGUUGUCAUGCCAAUGGCACUGCCCGGUAGCUAAAUGCGGAAGAGAUAAGUGCUGAAAGCAUCUAAGCACGAAACUUGCCCCGAGAUGAGUUCUCCCUGAGACUUAAAGUCUCCUGAAGGAACGUUGAAGACGACGACG